UGUUCUGUGGCUUAGUUGGUUAAACCGCUGGUCUAGCGAAUACGGAGUCGUGGGUUCAAAUCCCACCAGAACGC
rfam:Aedes albopictus isolate Foshan contig116058, whole genome shotgun sequence.